rnacentral:misc_RNA from 1 species
UCUCCGUAGGUGAACCUGCGGAGGGAUCAUUACCAAAGCUGGAGGGCCCACGCGCCCCGGUCCCCAACCCUUUGUAGACCAAACCACUUUUGACUCGGCCGCAGUGCGGCCCCCUCCGCCUCCGGUGGACCAUUUUAUCCUGUCUCUGUACGUGGGAGUCUUUGUUAAAUGAAUAAAAACUUUUAACAACGGAUCUCUUGGUUCUG